CUGACCUCGUGAUCCGCCUGCCUCGGCCUCCCAAAGUGCUGGGAUUACAGGCGUGAGCCACCGCGCCCGGCCGCUGCUUUAAGUUCUUAACACGUCCUCACCGCGGCUCAGCUCACUGUACGGCCCCUGCAUAGAGAGGGGAGGGCAGGGGCCAUGAUACUGAACUCACAGCUCUGGGCAUUUCUGAAGUCUGGCCCUUGAAGCUUUUCCUAGAGCAAAUUGUUUUCUUCUCCCCUUCAGGAAACUGAAAAUUCACACAGCAGCCGUGGGAGUCAGAGUAGCAAAGGCUUUGAGAUCACAUAGACCUGGGACACGUGCUUGCUUUGUGAUUACGGGUGCGGGGACUGCUUGCCAACCCAUGGCAACUCACCUGUAGCGCAUGGAGAUUUGGGGGUAAACCCAGUGAUGCUGAGUAUGUGGGCUGCCCAAGCUGGGUGGCAACCAACCCCAGCAUUGAAUGUGCUGAGAGCUGGACCGGUGGAUGUCCCCACUGCCCUGAGGCAGGUCCAGGAGAAGGCUCCUACCUGCUGUGCAGAGGGCAAGCUCAUGGCUGUCAGAGGCUCCUAACUGCACCCACCCCCGAUCAGCCAAAGCCAAUUACUCCACGUCCAAGACACAGGCGUGUUAAAAUGUAAACGGCCAUUCAUCAUCUGGCAGCGUGACCGUUUGCCCCUAUCAGGCCCCAGUCCGGCCUCACCACGCCUCCAUGCUCUCCUCAGCGUCAAAGAAACAGCCUUGUCCUGCCAGGGCCUUCGCCAGGCCCGGCCUGGGAAGUCAGGGCUCUCUGACCCAAUGGAGCGAAUCGUUGCGAGCAUUUAUUUAAUAGCAUUAUCUUGAUGAUGAAUAAAUCACACCUUCAUGAACCAUUUUUCCAUUUGUAGCCCCAAGUCAAGACUCCCAAAAUGUUACCAGAUGUCAGGCAUGAAAUAUACACCCCUGGCAAGCUCUGCCAUGCACAGGAGUCAUGCUGCUUUCAAUCCACGGGAGAGCCGGACACGAGCGUUCCAAGGCAGGAGCAGAACUCCAUGUUGGCCAUUAUAAAGACAAGAUUCCUUUUCCCCCGCUUUUUAUAGCCUCUCUGGGUAAGAUGUGUCUGGAAGGAGGUGUGGGCCAGGAAAGAGCAUAUGUCUGAUGCCUGGGAUUCCAGGACAGAAAGUACAGCCGACUCCAAGCUCUUGGGAUGGGAUUGGAGGGUCUCAAAACCUUGCCAGCUUUGGAGUCAGAGAGAAAAGAGUCCCAACCCCAGAUUUAUCAUUUGCUAACAAAUGUGACCUUGGGCAAAUCAGCUCACCUCUCUGGCCCUCAACAGAGAUAAUCCUGGGACCUAUUUCACAGUCAUGGAGAGGAUUAAAUGGGAAGAGGAAUAAAAGGAGUUUGGAGAAGUGCCCAGGACAUAGUAUGCACUGAGCAAAUUCCGUAGUAAGAGGAGUAUUAGUAAUAGCUACUAUUGAUUAGGUGGUGUUGUGAGUUGAACAGUGUUCCCCCAAAAUUCAUGUCCACCCAGAGACACAGAAUGUGACCAUUUGUGGAAAUAGGGUCUUUGCAAAUGUAAUUAGUUAAGAUGAGGUCAUACUAGAUUAGGGUAGGCCCUAAGUCUAA
rnacentral:lncRNA from 1 species